rnacentral:rRNA from 1 species
GACGAACGCUGGCGGCGUGCCUAAUACAUGCAAGUCGAACGCUUUGAUUUUCACCGGAGCUUGCUCCACCAAAAAUCAAAGAGUGGCGGACGGGUGAGUAACACGUGGGCAACCUGCCCAACAGAGGGGGAUAACACUUGGAAACAGGUGCUAAUACCGCAUAAUUUGUUUUUCCGCAUGGAAGAAUAAUAAAAGACGCUUCGGUGUCACUGUUGGAUGGGCCCGCGCUGCAUUAGUUAGUUGGUGGGGUAACGGCCUACCAAGACCAUGAUGCAUAGCCGACCUGAGAGGGUGAUCGGCCACACUGGGACUGAGACACGGCCCAGACUCCUACGGGAGGCAGCAGUAGGGAAUCUUCGGCAAUGGACGAAAGUCUGACCGAGCAACGCCGCGUGAGUGAAGAAGGUUUUCGGAUCGUAAAACUCUGUUGUUAGAGAAGAACAAGUGAGAGAGUUACUGUUCUCACCUUGACGGUAUCUAACCAGAAAGCCACGGCUAACUACGUGCCAGCAGCCGCGGUAAUACGUAGGUGGCAAGCGUUGUCCGGAUUUAUUGGGCGUAAAGCGAGCGCAGGCGGUUUCUUAAGUCUGAUGUGAAAGCCCUCGGCUCAACCGAGGAAGGUCAUUGGAAACUGGGGAACUUGAGUGCAGAAGAGGAGAGUGGAAUUCCAUGUGUAGCGGUGAAAUGCGUAGAUAUAUGGAGGAACACCAGUGGCGAAGGCGACUCUCUGGUCUGUAACUGACGCUGAGGCUCGAAAGCGUGGGGAGCAAACAGG